GAGUUGCUACAAAUGUCAUAUCAGAGAGAGAGGUUUUAUCACUGCCUCAAAGCACAGGACCAUUUAUAACAGAGCAACAGUGUCGACUGGUUAAGACAAAGACAACUUGUGCUCUACAUUACUAGUAUUAUUACUGCUGCGGUGACUUGGUUAACUGACUUAACCAACAAGUCCACAGUGAAUGUUCACCAUGGUGACACAGGAUGCACCUUGGUCUAUGUUACAGCUGUGAUACAGACUACAAGAUUCAAAACCACAUAGAUGCCAGUAGUCUGUUGAGCAUUCAGGUUCUUAACACUCACUGGACACUUUUUACUGCAAGUCAUCUCAACUAAUGUGACAAAGAGGAUGUGGGAACCUUCCAGUAGUCCAGGCUAGGAACCGCUGGACUCCUUCACCUGGGACAAAAUUAAGCAGAUCUCUCUUUCCACUGAAGCCCAGCAUAUAGUGUCCAGGGCCUCCAGUUCUAGAGCUGCUGACCAGGCUUGCUCCCCAGGCAGGGAACAUACAUCACGCCACAUCUGUUGUAAUGGGAAUUACUCCUUUGCUGUGUUGCUGCUGACUCUGUUGGAAUAGAUGGCUAUACAACCUGGGACGAUUAGCAGCAACAUAUGGUGCACAGAUUCCCUUUUGGUUGUAAGGAGGGAGGCUCUACAGUAAGUCAUUAACCGCGCGUUCACUCGACGCACACUUACUUG